AUGAUGAGACCCCACUUGUCAUUUCGUCAAAAGUAUCAGUUGCUGCUAUGGAAGGACAUGAAAUUGCAGUUUGCAAGCGUCGCGGAAUUGGUAGCCAUAUUUAUACUUGCUGCUCUUAUGCCCGUGCUGAUUACCAUUGGCAGAAAAGUUUCAAAAUCACUGUUUCGUUACGAAGUAGAAGUUGAAAAGGCACCCGGCCCGAAAAUUCUUGAUACGUGUGUAUUUCGCGACUUGUAUUAUUCACCUUACAAUGGGUUAGUAGAGAAACUUGUUUUCGAACUGUCUAACAGCUCUGAAUGUUUUGGUUACGAGGGUUUUGACACUACUAGAGAGCUUCACCUGAAAAUGAUUGAAAACAAAGAAGCAGCCGGGAUUGCGUUCCCCCAUGAAUGGGCUACAAUACAAACCUAUCCGGACUACCUUAAUUUUACUUUAUACAUGCCGUUAAAUUUAAAGAAGAGGCAUUCUGGGUACUUUGAAUCUGGAUUCUUAAUGAUUCAAGAACGGCUUUCUCGAUUAUUCAUUCAAUUCAAGAGUUCCAGAGGGCGGCACAGAAAAAAUAUUGCAAAGGUGCGGAUGAACCAUUUUCCUUACCCCAGAUAUGUGCCGAAUUACUAUGCGAACUCAGCAAUCGCUGUGACAUACACAAUCCUUAUAUCAUUUUUCCUUCCCUGCAUAACGAUCGUCAAGUAUAUAGUUGCCGAAAGGGAGUAUCAGCAAAAGGCGGUUUUGAACACAAUGGGAUUCAGGAACAGUAUCCAUUGGUUGGCCUGGUAUACGAAAUCAAUGAUACUUCUCAUCCUAUGCGUGUUACUUAUUUUAACCAUUUUUGCGAUAGGAUCAAUUUAUGAAUUCAGCAACCAUGUUUGCCUUUUUAUCGUACUUCUAGCGUACUGUCAUUCACUGGUAUUAUUCGCCUUCUUCGUAAGCGCAUUUUUCUCAAGAAGUUACUGGGCCGCUGUGCUGGCACUUUUGCUCUACGUAGCCACGGCUCUUCCCUAUGUGAUUGUGGGUGAUCGUCACUCGAGCUUGGCAUCCCAAACGGCAGCUUGUUUCGGACUGAACUCAGCCCUGUUCUACAUUCUGCAGUCGGUGGCCAAAAUGGAGAAGCAGUCGGUGGGCAUCCAGUGGUACACCAUGGCCAAAACCGCAUCGCGUGGCCACAAGCUAAGCAUCGUGGCCCACAUGACCAUCAUGCUUGUGACCAGCUGCGUCGAACUGCUGGUCUGUUUGUACAUCGAGGAGGUGCGACACGGCGGGUUUGGGGUUCCCCAGCCGUGGUAUUAUCCAUUCCAGAGGAGAUACUGGUUUUCCCGGCGGUUUGGUUUAAAGAAGGAUCCGCUGCUGCCUAUUUCAAAACCGUCUGCUAGAAGCGGAUAUUUUGCCACUUCUGACGACCGAUAUCGGUCACUAACCACGGAAAAAGUACCGAUAGGAAAAAUACCGAUCGUCGAAGUAAGAAAUUUGAAUAAGCAGUUUAAAAAUCGCGUGGUAGUUAAGGACUUGACUUUUAAUAUGUACGAAAACGAGAUCACAGCCCUGUUGGGACACAAUGCCUGCGGGAAGACCACCACCAUACUGAUGCUCUGUGGCAUGUUGUCGCCCACUUCCGGAACAGCUGUAAUCAAUGGCUAUGAUAUCGUGAAGGAACGCAAGUUCGCGAAGGCCAGCUUGGGCAUCUGUGCGCAGCACAGUGUUCUUUUCAAGGGACUCACCGUGUACGAUCACAUCUACUUCUUCAGUCGCUUAAAGGGAUAUGCUACUCACGAUGCACGAAUGGAGACGGAAAUGUACAUCCGCAAGCUUAACUUGGCCGCGUUUAGUAGAGUGGACGCCCUGAAACUCUCGAGUGGCAAUCAGAGGCGAUUGUCGCUGGCCUGUGCUCUUUGCGGCGGUUCAAAGGUGAUCUUCUGCGAUGAGCCAUCCUCGGGAUUGGAUCCAAGGGGGCGCCACGAUCUGUGGCGGCUUCUGCAGAAGGAGAAGCAGGGACGCGCGGUCCUGAUGACCACCCAUCUUAUGGAGGAGGCCGAGAUCCUGGGCGACCGGAUUGCCAUCAUGAGCAACGGAGAGCUCCGCUCCUUCGGAACUCUGGGAUUCCUUAAGCAGAUUCACAACGCCAGUUUCACGCUCUACGUCGAGAUGGGCCUCAAUUGCAAAUUGGACAAAUUGACGGAUUUGGUGACGCAUGUUGCGUCCGCUUCUGAGCCGGUGAUCCGGGGACCGGAUGUAACCUUCAAACUGCCACGAAACAUGAUCGGCAAAUUCUCGGUAUUGUUCCAUCUCCUGGAAAUCAAUAAAAAGAUCCUCGACGUGGUCAGCUUUGACUUCUCCGACGCCAGUCUGGAGGAGAUCAUCCUGAGUCUAGAUCCGGAACAUGAGCCCCGUCCAAGGGGCGGUGCUGAUGAAGACAAGAAUAGUUUCGGAACUCAAACUGAUUUAGUGGACCGCGCAGCAGCAAGAGCAGAAAGAAGAAGGGCGAGGGAAUUGGCGCGGCAAGCUGCAAGUUCAACAAGUUCGCAAGCCAAACCUGAGCCAGAACCAAAGGAGCCACCUAAGUCGAAUCUCAUAAGGAAACCAAGUGAGCAAUCGCGACCAAAGCCCGAACUCACGUUCAGAGGAAGAGCAUCAGUGAUGGGUCUCUGCCAGGCAAUGAUGAUGAAGAAGGCCUACUACACACGCUACCAUUUUGGUUUAUUUCUCCUAAUUCUAUUCAUACCGCUCAUAUUCUUUUUUAUAGUCCUUGCGACCUCCGAAUAUGAAAGGGGAAACAAACUCAUUGUGGAGCCAACUGUGAUGGAGUUGUCGUUGAACUACUAUAGUUAUGAUGACAUGAUCAUCUUACUCGAAGUCGAUGACAGGUUUUUUAAAAAAGAGGGCCAAGGUUAUGUUGAGGCUGUGAAAAAGCCUGCACAAGUGGAAAAGAUAAAGUCAAUAUUUGCGCACCUAUUCAAGGCACCACCUUUAGUGCGACGGGAUAUACGUCGAAAAUAUGUCUGUGGUGCCUCAUUUAAUGAUUCCUCGACUAUAACAGCCUGGUUUAAUAGUAAUGCCUUCGAACACUCGGCACCCAUUGCCCUGAAUCUGGUCUAUGAAGCCAUAGGAAAAGCUGCGACUGGAAGCGCUUUCAACAUUUUUGUACACAGAGGGCAUUUAGACGAAAGUCACAUGGCAAAGAGUACAUUAACUAAGCAUAGAUCAAAGCGACAGGAUAAUGUGGAUUACGAGGAUUAUGAAGACUACGAAUUUCGCGAAGAAGAUAAUCCUAGCAUAAAUGACUUUAACAAAACCCUUAAGAAUCCUUCUUAUAAUUCUAUAACGCCUUCUGAUGUUCAAAUAAUCCCCCACAUGUCGGUUUCGGAAUCACGAUCAGUAUUUUACAAUGAGCGGGAGAGCAUGUAUUUAAUUUUCGCCGCUAUCAUUAUAAUAAUUGCAUAUCUAGCUUUGGCCCUAAGCAGUUUUGCCAUCUUUGUUACGGAGGAACGUGUGCAGCAAAUGAAAAUGCAGCAGGACCUACAAAGUUUGUCUCCAGGCUGCUUUUGGUUCACCCACUUUAUUUGGGAUUAUUUUAUAUGUGCCUUUUAUAUGAUGGCUCUUACCUUGGCAAUAUAUCAAGAUACAAUAUGGUACCAGUCUCUAAUAAUUUUUCUACUCAUUGGUUUUGCCUGCUUGCCAUUUAUCUACCUAUGCAGCCUGUUGUUCAAAAAGCCAGCUACUGCUUUUGUCAUGAAUUUCACAAUUCAGCUGGUCACGGGUGGAAUUCUAUUUUGCUUUUUAUUUUUCGUAAGCUCCGUAAGUAAUAGUUAUAUUUUGGGUAUACCUGUGAUAUUCCCCAUGUAUGUUGGUGCCUUUGGCCUAUUCAAAUGUCUAUCAUGGGGUAAAGUUUGCGAAAGAGAAAUAAUCCCAGUGAUCGACAAUCUUAAGUGCAAUUUUGGAGACCCCAAUGUAUUUUGCGCGUGUCCAGAGAUAUACAAAUGGAACGAGUUUUAUUUACUGAUGAUCCAUGGCAUCAUAUGGUCUAUUAUCCUAUGGAUUUCCUGUUUCGGACGGGAUAUUGCCCAUUUGUGUUCAAAAAGCCAAUCAAAUAGAAAUUGGCAGGCGGAUGAUAAAGGGCGCAGAGUGUUUGAUGAGGAAAUACGAGUUGGAGGAAUUUCAAAGUACGACCAAGAUGACUAUCCCGUAAUUGUAGACCAGGUUGUAAAGAACUACUGCUCCACCAAGGCAGUUAAAUUUGUAUCUUUUGCGAUGAACCCUGGCGAGUGCUUUGGCCUUCUGGGGGCCAAUGGAGCUGGCAAGACAUCUAUUAUCCGAAUGAUCGUAGGCGAGACGAGAUUGUCUGGUGGAAACAUCUACGUCCAAGGACACAGCCUGCGGGGCUAUACAACUUCGGUAUUGGCCAAGGAGAAUAUCGGUUAUUGUCCACAGUACGACACUCUGCACGGAUUUCUUACCGGCCGGCAAACACUCAAGAUUCACUGGCUGCUUCGGGGAAUACCGAAAAAGGAUAUCCCACGGCUCUCCAAACAGUUGGCAAUCGACUUUGGUUUCGAAAAACAUCUGGACCAGAAGGUACGCACCUACAGCGGCGGAACCAAAAGGAAACUAAGCGUAGCCCUCGCUGUCUAUGGCGGAUCAAUUAUUUGUCUCGACGAACCCAACAGGGGUGUCGAUCCCGUGUCACGUCACUAUAUUUGCCAGAAGCUGGAGGCCGCUUGCUACAAUGGCAAGACGGUGCUGCUGGCCACCCACAGCAUGGAGGAGGUCAACGCCAUCUGCCCGAGGAUCGGCGUCUUGGUAUCCGGUAAGAUGGAAAGCAUUGGAUCUGUGCAGCAGGUGCGAUCAGAGAUCUGCGACACAAUUGUGCUGAAGCUUAAAAUUAAGGCAAACCCAAUACAACUAAAAAAGGCUCGGAAAAAAAUGGAGGCUGAUAUAGCAAAACUUUAUCCCGCAGCAGUCUUACAAGAAUCAAUUGAUUGUUGGCUUAUAUAUCACAUUAAUAAGAGGUAUAAAACGUGGUCUAACCUGUUUCACAAUAUGGAGCAGAAACGGAUCGAGGGCCAGUUGGAUGACUAUUCUAUAAGCCUGGCUUCUCUGGAGGAAAUUCUUAGGAAACUAAACAACGAAAAAUUAAACAAUGUUGUUGAAUCGGACUCAGAUGAUUCAAAUGAUGAAGCUUGUGGUGUCAACCAAGGGAGAAUUCAAAGACCAGAUAAAAGUAUAGAACAACAAAUCAUAAUAAUUGAUAACAAAAGAGAAAGGGAACAACUUUUAAAGAAGCAAAAAGAAAUUAAGAAACGUCAAAAAAAACCGAGAAGGCCAGCAACUUCCUCGGAAAGUAGUGAUAGUGAUAGCGAACUUCCAAGCAAUAGCAAUAAACCCAUACCAAAUCGUUAGGAAAUGACUCGCCAAACCAAUAACUGCGGCAUUAAAACUGAACUUCUACGAUUUUCCUCGACGUUUAGAGAAGAAAAAUCAGAGUCGCUCGACCGUAUUUGUAUUCAUUAAGGAAUUUUCGAAAGUUUUCCCGCGUUUCUUAUUUGCUCAUCCUUCGUCCAUGCACUUUGGCUCUCUGGUGAGUCGGGCUUCCUUCGAGGGGAACGGUUGAUUAAAAUGUCAAAUGCCUUGAAUAUUUUAAAUGCCAUUGCGUCAGCCCCAGAGGCCCCGAAAAUUCAGGCGACGCUGAAACGGGGUAAUUAAGGACGAGGAGAUCUUAAAGAAGAAAUGCGAAAUUUUAAUUGCACUUCCAGGAGAUGACAGUCCUUUUUAAAUUUACAUGUAUGGUAAGGAUAACCAUAACUUCCGUUUUGGUUGCAUCACAUAAAAUACUUGGUACAAUUUGUAGUGAUUGUAUUUGUAACAAUAAAAAUAAAAGAAAUACAUCUUUAAAAAUGGUUUUAUAAGGAACCAUAAGAAAAUUGAAACAUUGGCAA